CUACGGGGCGCUCCAGAGGGGAAUAUUGCACAAUGGGCGCAAGCCUGAUGCAGCCAUGCCGCGUGUAUGAAGAAGGCCUUCGGGUUGUAAAGUACUUUCAGCGGGGAGGAAGGGAGUAAAGUUAAUACCUUUGCUCAUUGACGUUACCCGCAGAAGAAGCACCGGCGAACUCCGUGCCAGCAGCCGCGGUAAUACGGAGGGUGCAAGCGUUAAUCGGAAUUACUGGGCGUAAAGCGCACGCAGGCGGUUUGUUAAGUCGGAUGUGAAAUCCCCGGGCUCAACCUGGGAACUGCAUCUGAUACUGGCAAGCUUGAGUCUCGUAGAGGGGGGUAGAAUUCCAGGUGUAGCGGUGAAAUGCGUAGAGAUCUGGAGGAAUACCGGUGGCGAAGGCGGCCCCCUGGACGAAGACUGACGCUCAGGUGCGAAAGCGUGGGGAGCAAACAGGAUUAGAUACCCUUGUAGUC
rnacentral:rRNA from 1 species